CCCAAUUCUAUAAUUGUUACAACUUUUACACAGUAUUACAAACUUAAAAAUGUAAACUUUCAAGGAAAAAAACAUAAUUUGAUUAUAAUUAUUCUUAUUUUGGGACUUUGUAAUCCAGAAAUCAAAUUGCUCAUUUAAGUGGAAGCAAUGUUUCUCACGGUAUUUAAUAUCUAGAACAGUAAGUCGGGUUUAAGUUUAAAAUCACCAUUUCACAUGUAAUCUGUUGAUUUAGCCACAAAUUAUACAUUUAUUAUAAAUGAACAUACUGAGUAUUUCUGUAGUGUACAUUGCAGUUUCAAAGGGUGAAAAAUGUUUUGUUUAAAAAAGAAAAAAGAAAAAAAAAAAGAAAAAAAGUUACCCAAACGGUCUCCGGUUAUUUUAUUCAUUGAUUAUUCAUAUGCACCUUUUACAUUACAAAUGUGCAUUUCAUGAAUAUAAAUAAAAUGUAUGACAACUGUUUCACUUAAACACUCAACCAUUGCAAAAUAAAACCACAAAUGUGACAUUACCUGUGUUAUCACAAUGUAGUUGCACCUUUAUAUAGACCUUUAUGUGCCAAAAGGGAAAGUGCUCCUCCCUUAGACAUUGAAAGGGUUAGAUUUGUACCUGAAGAAAAACAGAUUUGCAAUAAUAUAGUCAUAACAAGGGUGAAUCAUAUGUUUAGCUUAACAGUCUUUCUAGUUACUUGUGUGAAUAAAACCGUUCACAUUAAAGUAGGCAGAUUGUUUUUUGUUUAACAAAGUCUUCACUACCAUAUAACUUUAAAGUCUAUGCAAAAAUAUAUUUCUGCAGAUUGCUAAACAGAGCUUGUCUGUAUAUUAUAUGGGAAAAAAAAAAGAAGAUAUUAAAGAUUAAAC